rnacentral:tRNA from 1 species
GGGGUUAUAACUCAGUGGUAGAGUGCAUGCUUGGUGUGCACAAGGUCCUGGGAUCAAUCCCCAAUGCCUCUG